rnacentral:rRNA from 1 species
AUUGACCUCGGAUCAGGUAGGGAUACCCGCUGAACUUAAGCAUAUCAAUAAGCGGAGGAAAAGAAACCAACAGGGAUUGCCUCAGUAACGGCGAGUGAAGCGGCAAAAGCUCAAAUUUGAAAUCUGGCCCUUUCAGGGUCCGAGUUGUAAUUUGUAGAAGACGCUUUGGGUGUGGCUCCGGUUUAAGUUCUUUGGAAUAUUACAUCAUAGAGGGUGAGAAUCCCGUAUGUGACCGGUCGCCGCGCCCGUGUAAAGCUCUUUCAACGAGUCGAGUUGUUUGGGAAUGCAGCUCAAAAUGGGAGGUAUAUUUCUUCUAAAGCUAAAUAUUGGCCAGAGACCGAUAGCGCACAAGUAGAGUGAUCGAAAGAUGAAAAGCACUUUGGAAAGAGAGUUAAACAGUACGUGAAAUUGUUGAAAGGGAAGCGCUUGCAACCAGACUUGCACGCAGUUGAUCAUCCGGUGUUCUCACCGGGGCACUCUGCUGCGUUCAGGCCAGCAUCGGUUCUGGUGGUUGGAUAAAGACCUUGGGAAUGUGGCUUCUUUCGGGGAGUGUUAUAGCCCUCGGUGCAAUGCAGCCUACCGGGACCGAGGACCGCGCUUCGGCUAGGAUGCUGGCGUAAUGGUUGUAAGCGGCCCGUCUUGAAACACGGACCAAGGAGUCUAACAUCUAUGCGAGUGUUUGGGUGUCAAACCCAUACGCGUAAUGAAAGUGAACGGAGGUGAGAACCCUUAAGGGUGCAUCAUCGACCGGUCCUGAUGUCUUCGGAUGGAUCUGAGUAAGAGCAUAGCUGUUGGGACCCGAAAGAUGGUGAACUAUGCGUGAAUAGGGUGAAGCCAGAGGAAACUCUGGUGGAGGCUCGCAGCGGUUCUGACGUGCAAAUCGAUCGUCAAAUUUGCGCAUAGGGGCGAAAGACUAUCG